GGGGGAGUAACUAUUGGAAACGAUAGCUAAUACCGCAUAAGAGUAGAUGUUGCAUGACAUUUGCUUAAAAGGUGCAAUUGCAUCACUACCAGAUGGACCUGCGUUGUAUUAGCUAGUUGGUGGGGUAACGGCUCACCAAGGCGACGAUACAUAGCCGACCUGAGAGGGUGAUCGGCCACACUGGGACUGAGACACGGCCCAG
rnacentral:rRNA from 1 species